UGGGGAAUUUUGGACAAUGGGCGAAAGCCUGAUCCAGCAAUGCCGCGUGUGUGAAGAAGGCCUUCGGGUUGUAAAGCACUUUUGUCCGGAAAGAAAUCCUUGGCUCUAAUACAGUCGGGGGAUGACGGUACCGGAAGAAUAAGCACCGGCUAACUACGUGCCAGCAGCCGCGGUAAUACGUAGGGUGCAAGCGUUAAUCGGAAUUACUGGGCGUAAAGCGUGCGCAGGCGGUUUGCUAAGACCGAUGUGAAAUCCCCGGGCUCAACCUGGGAACUGCAUUGGUGACUGGCAGGCUAGAGUAUGGCAGAGGGGUGUAGAAUUCCACGUGUAGCAGUGAAAUGCGUAGAGAUGUGGAGGAAUACCGAUGGCGAAGGCAGCCCCCUGGGCCAAUACUGACGCUCAUGCACGAAAGCGUGGGGAGCAAACAGGAUUAGAUACCCUGGUAGUCCACGCCCUAAACGAUGUCAACUAGUUGUUGGGGAUUCAUUUCCUUAGUAACGUAGCUAACGCGUGAAGUUGACCGCCUGGGGAGUACGGUCGCAAGAUUAAAACUCAAAUGAAUUGACGGGGUCAUAGCUGUUUCCU
rnacentral:rRNA from 1 species